GCCCCCGUAGCUCAGGGGAUAGAGCACCGGUUUCCUAAACUGGGGGUCGUGCGUUCAAUUCGCACCGGGGGCAC
rnacentral:tRNA from 1 species